rnacentral:rRNA from 1 species
UACUCCUACGGGAGGCAGCAGGGGGGAAUAUUGCACAAUGGGGGAAACCCUGAUGCAGCGACGCCGCGUGAAGGAAGAAGUAUUUCGGUAUGUAAACUUCUAUCAGCAAGGAAGAUAAUGACGGUACUUGACUAAGAAGCCCCGGCUAACUACGUGCCAGCAGCCGCGGUAAUA